GUCUGAAAAGGGCCAGGACACAGACUGGGGUUGAAACAAUCUAAACAUUUUAGAAAAAAAAAGUUAAUCAAAUUAAAAGUAAAAUCUGGAUGGUCAAUUCGUCAGAAUCCAAGGCAGGGUCCCAAGGAGAUGGUGCCUAUCACCAUCAGUCAUUGUGCAAGAGGACGGGUCCACCCUGGACAGGGUGACGUGACAGGCAUCUGUGAGCACCGGGGAACAGAGAGGAA